rnacentral:rRNA from 1 species
CCUACGGGUGGCUGCAGUGGGGAAUAUUGGACAAUGGGCGAAAGCCUGAUCCAGCCAUGCCGCGUGUGUGAAGAAGGCCUUCGGGUUGUAAAGCACUUUCAAUGGGGAAGAAAGCCUUGGGGCUAAUACCCUCGAGGAAGGACAUCACCCACAGAAGAAGCACCGGCUAACUCCGUGCCAGCAGCCGCGGUAAUACGGAGGGUGCGAGCGUUAAUCGGAAUUACUGGGCGUAAAGCGCGCGUAGGCGGUCUGAUAAGCCGGUUGUGAAAGCCCCGGGCUCAACCUGGGAACGGCAUCCGGAACUGUCAGGCUAGAGUGCAGGAGAGGAAGGUAGAAUUCCCGGUGUAGCGGUGAAAUGCGUAGAGAUCGGGAGGAAUACCAGUGGCGAAGGCGGCCUUCUGGACUGACACUGACGCUGAGGUGCGAAAGCGUGGGUAGCAAACAGGAUUAGAUACCCCAGUAGUC